CCUUGCUGUAAACGAUGCAUACUUGAUGUGAGUGGUCUCAAUCCAACUCGUGUCGUAGCUAACGCGUUAAGUAUGCCGCCUGAGGAGUACACUCGCAAGGGUGAAACUCAAAAGAAUUGACGGGGGCCCGCACAAGCAGUGGAGCAUGUGGUUUAAUUCGAUGCAACGCGAAGAACCUUACCUGGACUUGACAUGUAUUUGACAGUGGCAGAAAUGUCAUCUUCCGUAAGGACAGAUACACAGGUGCUGCAUGGCUGU
rnacentral:rRNA from 1 species